GGUAAAAAAGCUCGUAGUUGGAUUUCUGUUGAGGACGACCGGUCUCCACCUUGUGGUUGCAUCUGGCUCGGCCUCGGCAUCCUCUCGAAAGACGUUUCUGCGCUUGAUUGCGUGGUGCGGAGUUCGGGACUUUUACUUUGAGGAAAUUAGAGUGUUCACGGCAGGCUAUCGCCAGAAUACAUUAGCAUGGAAUAAUACUAUAGGAUCUUGAUUCUAUUUUGUUGGUUUCUAGAAUUGAGAUAAUGAUUAAUAGGGACAAUUGGGGGCAUCCGUAUCAACACGUCAGAGGUGGAAUUCUUGGAUUGUGUUGCGACGAACUACUGCGAGAGCAUUUGCCAAGGAUGUUUUCAUUGAUCAAGAACGAAAGUAAGGGGAUCGAAGACGAUUAAAUACCGUCGUAGUCUUUACCACAAACUAUGCCGACUCGAGAUGGGGCUUCGUUCAUUUCCGACUAGCUCCGCACCGUAUGAGAUAUCAAAGUCUUUGGGUUCCGGGGGGAGUAUGGUCGCAAGACUGGAACUUAAAGGAAUUGACGGAAGGGCACCACCAGGAGUGGAGCCUGCGGCUUAAUUUGACUCAACACGGGAAAACUCACCAGGUCCAGACAUAAUAAGGAUUGACAGAUUGAUAGCUCUUUCUUGAUUUUAUGGGUGGUGGUGCAUGGCCGUUCUUAGUUCGUGGAGUGAUUUGUCUGCUUAAUUGCGUUAACGAAC
rnacentral:rRNA from 1 species